rnacentral:misc_RNA from 1 species
UCUCCAUCCCCAAAAUUCCUGGAUUGGGAUUUAAGAAUCUGAGAUGGCAACUGCCUGCCAAUAGACAAUUCGGACAAUAGGCGUAAAUCAGACAAGCAAUAGCCUUCUCUAAGUUCUGGCAAGAAACCAUUCUGAAAAUAUGAGGUUUGACUACUUUCAAGUCCUAUUACAGGCGUAGGUCCAUCCAAAGAUGCAUCAUCAGAAACAAGUUCAGGAGUUCCAACACUUGGGCAGCAAGCCUCUUGACGGAGGCUUUCAUCAAAUGAAACACAAACUUGUGAUUCACUAGAAUCAAAUUCGCAGUCCUGAUUCCCAUCCAAAUGAAAUGCAUCUUCAACUAUCUCAUCCAUUAAACCAACAACCCCCAGUUUAUUAUUUGAAUCUCCACUAGAGACCUGCACUUGAAAAGUUGACAAAGCAGAAUUAUUAUCGGUUAUCCUACAACCAUCAUUGAAUUCAUUCCUCUCUUGGGCUUGAUGAACAUUAUUCCACCGAGU